rnacentral:rRNA from 1 species
AACGAACGCUGGCGGCAGGCCUAACACAUGCAAGUCGAGCGAAGCCUUCGGGCUUAGCGGCGGACGGGUGAGUAACGCGUGGCAACGUGCCCUUUGGUACGGAAUAGCCCCGGGAAACUGGGAGUAAUACCGUAUGUGGUCGCGAGACGCAAGAUCUAUCGCCAAAGGAUCGGCCCGCGGUGGAUUAGGUAGUUGGUGGGGUAAUGGCCUACCAAGCCGACGAUCCAUAGCUGGUUUGAGAGGAUGAUCAGCCACACUGGGACUGAGACACGGCCCAGACUCCUACGGGAGGCAGCAGUGGGGGACCUUAGACAGUGGGGGAAACCAUGAUCUAGCCAUGCCGCGUGAUCGAUGAAGGCCUUAGGGUUGUAAAGAUCUUUCGGUGGGGAAGAUAAUGACUGUACCCACAGAAGAAGCCCCGGCUAACUCCGUGCCAGCCGCCGCAGUAAUAC